rnacentral:rRNA from 1 species
UAGGGAAUUUUCCGCAAUGGGGGCAACCCUGACGGAGCAACGCCGCGUGCAGGAUGAAUGCCUUCGGGUUGUAAACUGCUUUUAUGGGUGAAGAUUUAAGACGGUAACCCAAGAAUAAGGGACGGCUAACUACGUGCCAGCAGCCGCGGUCAUACGUAGGUCCCAAGCGUUAUCCGGAAUUACUGGGCGUAAAGAGUUGUGUAGGUGGUUUAUUAAGCAAGGUGUGAAAGCGUGCGGCUCAACCGUAUAACCAUACUUUGAACUGAUAGACUAGAGCGUGAGAGAGGUUACUGGAAUUUCUAGUGUAGGAGUGAAAUCCGUAGAUAUUAGAAGGAACACCGAUGGCGUAGGCAGGUAACUGGCUCAUUGCUGACACUCAGACACGAAAGCGUGGGGAGCAAACGGGAUUAGAUACCCCCGUAGUCC